rnacentral:rRNA from 1 species
GGAGGUAGAGCACUGAAUGGGCUAGGGCUGACAACAGUUACUGAACCCUAUCAAACUCCGAAUGCCAUAUACUUGUACCCCGGCAGUCAGACUACGAAUGAUAAGAUCCGUGGUCAAAAGGGAAACAGCCCAGACCAUCAGCUAAGGUCCCAAAGUGUAAGUUAAGUGGGAAAGGAUGUGGGAUUUCUAAGACAACUAGGAUGUUGGCUUAGAAGCAGCCACUCAUUUAAAGAGUGCGUAAUAGCUCACUAGUCGAGAGAUCCUGCGCCGAAGAUGUAACGGGGCUCAAACUUACCACCGAAGCUAUGGAUGUAUACUUUGUAUACGUGGUAGAGGAGCUUUCUGUACAGGUUGAAGCCAUACCGUAAGGAGUGGUGGACAGUACAGAAGUGAGAAUGCUGGCAUAAGUAGCGAAAAACAAGUGAGAAUCUUGUUGGCCGAAUAUCUAAGGUUUCCUGGGGAAGGCUCGUCCUCCCAGGGUUAGUCGGGACCUAAGCCAAGGCCGAAAGGCGUAGGUGAUGGACAACUGGUUGAUAUUCCAGUACCGCCAUGAUGCGUUUGACAAAUGGGAUGACGCAGGAGGAUAGGAUGUGCGCACUAUUGGAUGUGCGUCUAAGCACUUAGGGUGUUAAGUAGGCAAAUCCGCUUAACAUUAAGCCUGAGGUGUGAUGGGGAGUCAUUUUUGACGAAGUAUCUGAUUCCACGCUGCCAAGAAAAGUCUCUAUGGAGCAAAAUGGUGCCCGUACCGCAAACCGACACAGGUAGAUGAGGAGAGAAUCCUAAGGCCGUCGGAAGAAUUACUGCUAAGGAACUCGGCAAAUUGACCCCGUAACUUAGGGAGAAGGGGUGCCUACGAGAGUAGGCCGCAGUGAAUAGGCUCAAGCAACUGUUUAUCAAAAACACAGGUCUCUGCUAAAGCGUAAGCUGAUGUAUAGGGGCUGACGCCUGCCCGGUGCUGGAAGGUUAAGGGGAAUAGUUAGCGCAAGCGAAGCUAUGAACUUAAGCCCCAGUAAACGGCGGCCGUAACUAUAACGGUCCUAAGGUAGCGAAAUUCCUUGUCGGGUAAGUUCCGACCCGCACGAAUGGCGUAAUGAUUUGAGCACUGUCUCGGCAGUAAAUCCGGUGAAAUUGUAGUGCAAGUGAAGAUGCUUGCUACCCGCGGUUGGACGGAAAGACCCCGUAGAGCUUUACUGUAGCUUAGCAUUGAAUUUCGGUAUUGUCUGUACAGGAUAGGUGGGAGACUUAGAAACCAGGGCGUCAGCUUUGGCGGAGUCAUCCUUGGGAUACCACCCUGAUAGUACUGGAAUUCUAACUGGAGGCCAUGAAUCUGGUCACAGGACAUUGCUAGGUGGGCAGUUUGACUGGGGCGGUCGCCUCCUAAAAGGUAACGGAGGCGCCCAAAGGUUCCCUCAGCGCGGUCGGAAAUCGCGCGUAGAGUGCAAAGGCAGAAGGGAGCCUGACUGCGACACAUACAGGUGGAGCAGGGACGAAAGUCGGGCUUAGUGAUCCGGUGGUUCUGUAUGGAAGGGCCAUCGCUCAACGGAUAAAAGCUACCUC